UCGGCCAAGGAGGGAGUAAAUCAACCCUCCAAAUUUCAUCCCCAAAAAUUAUAAUUUUCUAGUAUUCCUACUAAGUCAAGGGUGCUCUACAACAUGGUGUAGUUGUUUUGGAAGUUUGGAGACUUGUUUUAUUGAUUUGGAAGUGAAGAAGCUAGAAGAAAAAGAUUUUGGAGGAAACGGGAAUUGAUUUUGGACAACCGUAAAACGUCAAAAAGGUACCGAAGUUUGACUUGCUGAUCCGCCGGUUUAGGACAUCUGCUGUGUUAUUGACGGUGCUCCUUUGUUCGGAGCUUGUAUUUUGGUACUGACUCUAUCUCUGUAUAUUUGGAUAUGUUGGUCAGGGGUACGACGGGGCCCUGUCCCGUCUUAUGACUAUGCUAUCAUCUGUAGAGGUCUGUAGACAGAGUUAUAUUGUGGGUUUUGUAUAUAUGGUUUGGAUUUUUGUGUGUUUUGUGACAACCUUUCAACUCUCGUGCGUAUAUCUAUUUUUAUGAUAUAUUUAGCAA